AGGUUACCUGAGCGAGAGGAAAGCGAUCCCUCCCGAUUAACGAUUGACCCAAGCCCGCGGAGGAGCGCCAGGCGCCCUUUCACCUCCGCUAUCUCCCCGGGCAGGCUCCAGAGGCAGAGCAGCGCUGCCCAGGAAGGACGCCAAAGCCCUCCCCUGCACUGACGCCGCGGGCAGGGAUGGAGAGCCAGCUGCUGCUGUGGGGAAAGUGCCCACUGCCUUCCUCGAGGUCCCUUGUCUUCUGUGAUGCCUCGAGCUGAGGAAGCCAAAAAGCUAUGGCUGCACCAUCUUAUUUGGGACCUGCUGGAGGUGACUGCAGGUGGUGAAGCCAAAGCUCCCCCAGCUGAGGAAAGGGGAUGGCACCUCAUCCUCAUCUGCAGGGGGCUCACCCAAGGCAUCUGCAGUCACCCACGACCCACCCCGAGCUGCUGAGGCUCCUUUAGGACAAAAGGACACGGCCACCUGAGAUUGAACCAUGGACAUCAGUCUUUCUGUGAUCCUGGGGACAAGGAUGGAGAGGGAUGCAUGUGACAGUGGCACCUGCAUCCCCAGGAGAGCCUGGAGGCCCACAGAGGGCAGAAUUACAUCUCCUUUGGGAUGCUUCCUGGAAGCAUGCCAGCCAAGCGGGGUGACCAGUCCUGAGGAGGGGGAUCGCAGCCCCUCCGCCCCCAGCCUCCCCCCAGCCCUCUGUUUACACAACUGGGACAAAUUUCACACCGCUGUCCCCACAGCCCCAGCCCCUCGCUCCCCUGCCCCAAAGAAUUUGUGAGUCACGGCCGAGGCAGAGCUAUAAAUGCGUCCCCACCAAGGGUCUGCAGUGUCACAAGGGACAGCGUCUCCUGCCACCAUGCAAGCUGCUGCCUGCUGCCUGACUGCCCACGGGCUCCGGGUGCCGGUGGCCACUGCCUGCCCACCCCCGGGGCUGGAGCGAGGGGCAAGAGCCUUUCCUCUCUGGAGACCGUGGCUGCCCCGAGCCCAGGAGGGACCCGCGCCGCGGCCAGAGG